ensembl:lncRNA
AUGUCCCCAGAGCCGUCCCCACAGGGGUCUCACCCGGCCAGCAGGUGCUCCCCGGCCCCACCCUUCCCAAAAAACGCCUGGGAUCGUUCCCGGCAGGACAAAUCCCGCUGGGAUUGGGCACUUCAGGCUGGAAUGAGUCCGAAGGGAAGCACGGGAAAAGGAGCGGAGAUCCGGCAGGAUCCAUCGUGGCGCUCCAGCCGGCAUUCCCGAGGCUCUGGGCUUGGGAGAGGCGCCCUGGGAGGCACCGGGAGCAGGGAAUGGGGGAAUGUCCACCCUGGGAUGGACACAGGGAUAGAUCCUCAUCCCACAUUUCCAUGGGAAAGAGGGAGGGACGGGAAUGGGGUGGGGAUGGGGAUGGGGAUGGGGAUGGGAUGGGAACGGGGAUGGGAAUGGGGAUGGGAACGGGGAUGGGAAUGGGGAUGGGAAUGGGGAUGGGAAUGGGGAUGGGAAUGGGGAUGGGGAUGGGGAUGGGGAUGGGGAUGGGGAUGGGGAUGGGGAUGGGAACGGGGAUGGGAAUGGGGAUGGGAAUGGGGAUGGGAAUGGGGAUGGGGAUGGGGAUGGGAAUGGGGAUGGGAAUGGGGAUGGGGAUGGGGAUGGGGAUGGGGAUGGGGAUGGGGAUGGGAAUGGGAUGGGAAUGGGAUGGGAAUGGGGAUGGGAAUGGGGAUGGGAAUGGGGAUGGGGAUGGGGAUGGGGAUGGGGAUGGGAAUGGGGAUGGGGAUGGGAAUGGGGAUGGGGAUGGGGAUGGGGAUGGGAACAGGACUGGGAACGGGGACAGGGACGGGAAUGGGGAUGGGCUCCUCCCUCGCAGGGCCCGGCUCAGCCCGGGCAGGGUCGGUGCUCCAGGGGGGCCCCGCUGGCAUCAAUGCAGCUCCGGCUCCGGAUCUGGGAAGGGAAUGGGAAUCGGGAUCAAUGGGAUCAAUGGGAUCAAUGGGAUCAAUGGAAUCAAUGGCAUCAAUGGGUCAAUGGGAUGAAUGGGACCAAUGGGAUCAAUGGGAUCAAUGGGACCAAUGGGAUCAAUGGGGUCAGUGGGAUCAAUGGAAUCAAUGCGAUGAAUGGGACCAAUGGGACCAAUGGGAUCAAUGGGAUCAAUGGGAUCAAUGGGAUCAAUGGGACCAAUGGGAUCAAUGGGGUCAGUGGGAUCAAUGGGAUCAAUGGAAUCAAUGGGAUCAAUGGGACCAAUGGGACCAAUGGGACCAAUGGGAUCAAUGGGAUCAAUGGGAUGAAUGGGACCAAUGGAAUCAAUGCAAUCAAUGGGGUCAGUGGGAUCAAUGGAAUCAAUGGCAUCAAUGGAAUCAAUGGGAUGAAUGGGAUCAAUGGAAUCAAUGGCAUCAAUGGAAUCAAUGGGAUGAAUGGGAUCAAUGGGAACAAUGGGGUCAGUGGGAUCAAUGGGAUCAAUGGAAUCAAUGGGAUGAAUGGGAUCAGUGGGACCAAUGGGAUCACUGGGAUCAAUGGGAUCAAUGGGAUCAAUGGGACCAAUGGGAUCAAUGGGGUCAGUGGGAUCAAUGGGAUCAAUGGGACCAAUGGGAUCAAUGGGAUCAAUGGGAUGAAUGGGAUCAAUGGGACCAAUGGGAUCAAUGGGAUCGGCAGCAGCCUCAGGGAAAAGGACUGCUGGGCCCUCAUUAA